rnacentral:rRNA from 1 species
CGGGACACGUGGUAUCCUGUCUGAAUAUGGGGGGACCAUCCUCCAAGGCUAAAUACUCCUGACUGACCGAUAGUGAACCAGUACCGUGAGGGAAAGGCGAAAAGAACCCCGGCGAGGGGAGUGAAAAAGAACCUGAAACCGUGUACGUACAAGCAGUGGGAGCCCCACCACUAAGCCAGUGGUGAACUCCACAUACGCAUCCUUUGCUGAAGGCAAUGGUUAACGGAGCGAAAGCGACGUUCAACCGCAAAACAAGCAGAGGGGGCUUAGUGGUGGGGUGACUGCGUACCUUUUGUAUAAUGGGUCAGCGACUUAUAUUCUGUAGCAAGGUUAACCGUAUAGGGGAGCCGGAGGGAAACCGAGUCUUAAUUGGGCGUUAAGUUGCAGGGUAUAGACCCGAAACCCGGUGAUCUAGCCAUGGGCAGGUUGAAGGUUGGGUAACACUAACUGGAGGACCGAACCGACUAAUGUUGAAAAAUUAGCGGAUGACCUGUGGCUGGGGGUGAAAGGCCAAUCAAACCGGGAGAUAGCUGGUUCUCCCCGAAAGCUAUUUAGGUAGCGCCUCGUGAAUUCAUCUCCGGGGGUAGAGCACUGUUUCGGCUAGGGGGCCAUCCCGGCUUACCAACCCGAUGCAAACUGCGAAUACCGGAGAAUGUUAUCACGGGAGACACACGGCGGGUGCUAACGUCCGUCGUGAAGAGGGAAACAACCCAGACCGCCAGCUAAGGUCCCAAAGUCAUGGUUAAGUGGGAAACGAUGUGGGAAGGCCCAGACAGCCAGGAUGUUGGCUUAGAAGCAGCCAUCAUUUAAAGAAAGCGUAAUAGCUCACUGGUCGAGUCGGCCUGCGCGGAAGAUGUAACGGGGCUAAACCAU